rfam:Myotis davidii contig199738, whole genome shotgun sequence.
UGUGGUUCUCAGGUGAUGCACCCGGAACCAGACAGGAGGGAGCCUGAUUCUGGGGUGCAUCACCUGAGAACUUCC